UACGUAGGGUGCGAGCGUUGUCCGGAAUUAUUGGGCGUAAAGGGCUCGUAGGCGGUCUGUUACGUCGGGAGUGAAAACUCAGGGCUUAACCCUGAGCCUGCUUCCGAUACGGGCAGACUAGAGGUAUGCAGGGGAGAAUGGAAUUCCUGGUGUAGCGGUGAAAUGCGCAGAUAUCAGGAGGAACACCGGUGGCGAAGGCGGUUCUCUGGGCAUGUCCUGACGCUGAGGAGCGAAAGUGUGGGGAGCGAACAGG
rnacentral:rRNA from 1 species